UACGUAGGGUGCAAGCGUUAAUCGGAAUUACUGGGCGUAAAGCGUGCGCAGGCGGUUUUGUAAGUCAGAUGUGAAAUGCCCGGGCUUAACCUGGGAACUGCAUUUGUGACUGCAAGGCUAGAGUUUGGCAGAGGGGGGUAGAAUUCCACGUGUAGCAGUGAAAUGCGUAGAUAUGUGGAGGAAUACCGAUGGCGAAGGCAGCCCCCUGGGUCAAGACUGACGCUCAUGCACGAAAGCGUGGGGAGCAAACAGG
rnacentral:rRNA from 1 species